CAAGCAUUGAGGUCCUAUUUUUAUUCACAAAUAACAAAAGAAACAGAUUUAGAAACAACAAAACCAUGCUAUUUGAAAAAGUCACCAACCAACAACAACUAUACUCACACAACAGCUACUAGUUUUUGUUUAAAUAGAAAAGCAUUGGAAUUUAGCAGUGAGGUGAACAGACAGUAUUGAAUGAUUUGAAAUAUGGCCUGCAAAUAAUGUAAUAAUUUAACUCAAGCCAUCAAAAAACCUGAUAAGAUACCUGGGACUCUCAAAUACUACUUCAGUAGUUGAUAAGAGUUGUUAAUAAAAUCAGUAACAAAUGAAACUAAAAAUUUUACUACUCUCAACACACUAAAGGAUUAAUCACAAAAUUCAAAGGCUUGAGUGUAACACAAGCACUAAAUAAAACUAUCUUCACAAUCACUUAAGAGGAUUAAGAGAUUGAAGUGAAGAACGGGGCAAACAAUUUCAUAAGGAAGUUCAUGAUAAAAUGAGGAUUGUUUUGGGAUGAGGCUUAUUGAAACAAAUAAUUAUGUAAUAUUUUUCAACUCCCAGUUAAUGAUCUUUGUUAAUUUUAUUAUUCUACUGUUUUGACCUCCCUUUGUCUCACAGACCACCAGACUCACAAACAAAUUUUUAAGCAAGAAUAUGGGUCAGUGGGUCAUCUUAGGGGCGAAGUAAUAUGUUGCAAGUACCCAAGAUGGCUGUAUAAAGGAAAACCUAAUAUCUGCAACCACUUCCAUCCCAUCAGUCUCAAUAAGCAACGCAGGAUAUUAAAGACUUCACAACCGCAAGCACUGUGAAAGCUAAAAUUUCAAAUUGAGUAACCGCCAUCAGGCUUUGGCUGGCAUAGAACAAGCAUUUGGUAAAAGGUGCUCUUAACCCAUGCUGUUUCGAACGCACAAGAUAAAAGUUCUUGAUUUUGUUGCACAAAUUUUAUUCAACCACCAAGUAAUGCGAAAAAGUUUUGCAUAAAAUACAUACACCAGUUAAGCACAUGCAAGCAUAGUUCCAGACCAAUACUUUUGAGAUUUUUCAUCACCGAAUAUCGCCAUCUUGUUUGGAAUGCCUCAAAGGUUUUAUGGUAUUACGACUCGUCGCAAAUUUAGAAUGGAUCCACAAGCUCAUUAUACAACUUGAAAUAUUUCCGUCGAACGACGAUGAGUGUUCAACCGGCAGACUCGACUUCCCUUGCGGCGCGGCGCCAUCAACUUCCGAACCCGCCAUCCAUCAACAUAAUCCCAAAGAAAGUUUUAGCGUCGUCACUUAUUUUUUAUAAUUUGAUGUUUCUUUUGACACCAGCUCUUUUUCUUGCUGUUUUUAACCUCUUUUUUUGAUUUCUUGACUGCUAUUGCAUUUUUGGGCAACUUUUUAUCGACUUUCCACGCUUCAUACAUUUAUUUUUUAACAUGUUCAUUUUAUUACCUACUUCAUAUUUUUUUUGCUGUUCUUUACAACAAUUUCAAAUUUGUGCCAGUGUCGUGUAGUGAUUGUAAAAAGGUAUGUAAUAGAACCUACUUUGUUAAAAACUGUUUUUUGAAUUUCCAUUCCAUAUUAACUGUCAGAUGUCUAGAUGACAUUGAUGUUAUGUCACCUUUGGAUUAACGGUUUCGCUUGAUAGCAGUAUCGGAAAGGUUGUUUUUAAGCUAUUAAUUUUAAAAUAAUAAUCAAUAAUCGUCAUUUCAUCUCAAUUAAACAUAUUUUCGCCUUGUUCUAUGUUAUCAACUAUAACGGAUACAGUACCAUCGCACGCCUGUUAAGGAGCGACCUCAUGCAGCCGCUCGUUUCCAGUGAUAAAUCAGGGUAGCUUCAAACCCGAUGACAAUGCAAUUUACAACUAUAAGAACGUCUGGGCUAAUUUUGAGAUCUGAUAGCAGGUGGUGUUGUCGGCCACGUAGACCCAGGUCCGCAGGUCCCCGGCUGCGCGCGG